UAUACUUUAGUAUAUUAUGUAUAAAAAUUUUUGAUAUUUUUGGAAGUAGAGUUUAUUUACUAAGUAUAA
rnacentral:tRNA from 1 species